rnacentral:pre_miRNA from 8 species
UUCAGCGGGGUUUUCCUUUGUGCUUGAUCUAACCAUGUGGUUGCAGACUCAGACUAAUACAUGGUUCUGUCAAGCACCAUGGAAGGUCUUGCAGCA